rnacentral:rRNA from 1 species
UUAGGAAUCUUCCGCAAUGGGCGCAAGCCUGACGGAGCGACGCCGCUUGGAGGAGGAAGCCCUUCGGGGUGUAAACUCCUGAACCCGGGACGAAACCCCCGACGAGGGGACUGACGGUACCGGGGUAAUAGCGCCGGCCAACUCCGUGCCAGCAGCCGCGGUAAUACGGAGGGCGCGAGCGUUACCCGGAUUUACUGGGCGUAAAGGGCGUGUAGGCGGCCUGGG